CAAAUACUUGCUCAUGUAUUUCAUUGUCCAUCCUCGUUAGACUUCUGACAGAGACACUGUAGCUGGACUGUACAUUGAUAAAUUGCUAAGCCACAUCAGCGGCCAUCACACACACGGUCGACGCCAUCUCCUGAUUCGUCUUCGUCUAGAACGUCAGAAUUCACCAAAUCAGCCCUCGCGUUUCUCCCUUCCCCCGGCUCCCGGCGUCUCUGCGCUGCGGCCGUACGGCGAUGCGGUGGCUAUCGAGGCUGCUCUCUCAAGCCGUCGCCGCCAGGAGGGCCUCCGCGGCGGCGAGGUCCAACACUAGUCUCGUCAAGGGAGGAUCCCACGGGUUCGCUAGUGGCGGCAGGGAUGGGUCACCGGAGGUGCCUCGGGAGUGGUUGCGGAAGCUGUGGGUAGACGAGCUGAAGAAGCAGAAGGAAGCCGCGAGGAGAUGGGGCGUCGGCUCAUCAUUAGAGGUUGCAGGAGCGACCGAGGAGGCACCGUCAAGGAGCUAUCAGUACGAAUACAGCGGCUCUAACCCCGUGGAGGCCAAACUGGCUCCGCUUCUUGCAAGAGCUAACCUCGUCAUUGCCAGGGAUAUUGAGUGGGCAAACAUCAUGUUUGCUUUUGAGCAGGAGAGCAGGUAUAUCAUAAUGGACCCACUCUUUCCACAAUCUCCAGUAGGUUUUAUUCGAGAGAAAAGCAACAUCAUCUUUAGACAGCUACUCAGAACAAGACGGCCAUUUGUUGCAGAAAUAACUGAUGCUAUGGGUAACGAGAUAUUUAAGGUUCGCCGGCCAUUUUGGUGGAUCAACAGCUCAAUUUAUGUAGAAGUGAAUGAUAAGGAGAUAGGUGUAGUCCACAGGCGUUGGCACCUUUGGCGGAGAAUUUAUGACUUGUACUUAGGGAAUAUGCAAUUUGCAGUUGUUGAGAAUCCAGGAUUCUGGAACUGGACCUUUAACCUGGUGGAUGAAGAUGAUAAAAUGUUGGCUCAGAUUGAUCGUAAUUGGAGGGGCCUCGGCUUUGAGGGUCUCCAAAGCGUCGCUCAACCACUGGGAACUCGUCCUAGUGCCACCCAACCGCUCGUGAACCGAGAGCCUUGAAGGUCCUUCACUCCUUGCCCCUUCACCCUGCACCAUCCAACGGUGAAAGCUACCUGGGGGCAUGAUCACCAAGGUUCCCAUUUUGACGGUCAUCUCUAACCGGAGGUGGCAAAGGCCCAACUCCUGUCGACGCCGAGACGACCGGAGAAGCAGCGAGCUGAACGCAGCAGGAGAGUCCUCGCGACUCAAAAGGACCGUCAGGCACAGAAGGCUCCAUAAUGAUGAGGUCUAUGACCUGAGGCAACCGCCUGGAUCUUUGCACAAUGUUCUAAGCUUGAAAGAAGAUAAGUCACGCUUGAGUUAAGUAUCUUCAUGAAGCUCUUGAACAUAACAAUAAUUAUCCAAAACAUGUUCCGCUAUGGAGGGAUGCCGUGCGUGGGACCAAUCGACGAGUAGCGAGCUCAACAACUCUCCGUCUACACUCAAUCUUGGAGGGGAGGGAUGGGAAGCGGGUGGGGAGACAGAGAGGACAUCUUUUGAAGCAAGUUGUAAUUAGGGCAUGUACCACCCCAUUUAAUACGGUGUCUUUUUGAGGGGUCUUUAAGGGGUUAAGUGAAAAAAGUAUAAGAGACGGGGUUUUUUCUGUGAAGAGCCCGUCUCUACACGACUCUCUAUACAUAUUAUCUCUUAACUACAUUUAUGAUUUAGUGGCUCUGAGUUAUAUCAUGUGGUAUUUUACAUGUCUCUCUUAUAUUUGGAAAACCAAUCUAAAGGUUUAGGGUUAUACAUGCCCUUAGGGCUUAAAAAGUUAAUCCUCAUCGACAUAUAUGCAGAUUGAUGAUAUAAACUUAGGUAACUACGGACUGCCUAUCUAAAUUGCUGCGCUGCUUUUGCUUGCUUAUACAGUUGGAAUUUUUUGUCCAGAACUUUUUAGACAUGCCAUUGCCUGAUUACACAGUUAUGGUGGUAUUCUAUCUCAGAACAGAACCGUGUUGGAGUCUGAUACAUCUGAUUUAAUUAUGCUACACCCUGCAUCUUUUUGGACUGCUUUUCUUUUCUUGCAUUUGCUCCUAUACUAGAGAAGGAUUGGGAUUGUAAGAACUAACGAGUUCAGAAUGAUAUACAUUGCCUUGUUCUUGUGACCACUGUAGCUCUUCACGGAUGCUGGCCAGUAUGCUAUCCGGUUUGGUGAUGAGGGGCAAAGCCACAAGUUUGCUCCCGCAGAAGAUGUCGAAGAACUGCAUGUUGUUCGCCAGCUGACUUUGCCUGAAAGGGCAGUGGCUCUUGCUCUCGCGAUUUCCUUGGACAGUGAUUACUUCUCUAGAAGAGGUGGCUGGGGACUUCCGUUUCUGAUAGCCACAGAGUAGACAAAUGAACCACCCUCGCCCACACUCAAGGAAAAAACUUUUUUUGGGGCUCUCAAUUUCCCAAGAGUGCAAGUGUAUGAUAUGAGUGGCUUUUAGAAUUGCUAAAACUCAAUCAUUACUACGCCAUUGUCACAUUAGUUGGUAAACAGGAUGUUGUUGAUGAAAGGGAUGACUUUUGCUUCA